UACGGGGGGUGCGAGCGUUGUCCGGAAUCACUGGGCGUAAAGCGCACGUAGGCGGACUCUUAAGUCGGUGGUGAAAUCCUGGAGCUCAACUCCAGAACUGCCUUCGAUACUGAGAGUCUUGAGUCCGGGAGAGGUGAGUGGAACUGCGAGUGUAGAGGUGAAAUUCGUAGAUAUUCGCAAGAACACCAGUGGCGAAGGCGGCUCACUGGCCCGGUACUGACGUUGAGGUGCGAAAGCGUGGGGAGCAAACAGG
rnacentral:rRNA from 1 species